CUCUCCUUAGCUCAGCUGGCAGAGCAACUGACUCUUAAUCAGUGGGUCUAGGGUUCGAAUCCCUAAGGGGAGACCA
rnacentral:tRNA from 3 species